GACGAACGCUGGUGGCGUGCUUAACACAUGCAAGUCGAACGGAAAGGCCCUGCUUUUGUGGGGUGCUCGAGUGGCGAACGGGUGAGUAACACGUGAGUAACCUGCCCUUGACUUUGGGAUAACUUCAGGAAACUGGGGCUAAUACCGGAUAGGAGCUCCUGCUGCAUGGUGGGGGUUGGAAAGUUUCGGCGGUUGGGGAUGGACUCGCGGCUUAUCAGCUUGUUGGUGGGGUAGUGGCUUACCAAGGCUUUGACGGGUAGCCGGCCUGAGAGGGUGACCGGCCACAUUGGGACUGAGAUACGGCCCAGACUCCUACGGGAGGCAGCAGUGGGGAAUAUUGCACAAUGGGCGGAAGCCUGAUGCAGCAACGCCGCGUGCGGGAUGACGGCCUUCGGGUUGUAAACCGCUUUCGCCUGUGACGAAGCGUGAGUGACGGUAAUGGGUAAAGAAGCACCGGCUAACUACGUGCCAGCAGCCGCGGUGAUACGUAGGGUGCGAGCGUUGUCCGGAUUUAUUGGGCGUAAAGGGCUCGUAGGUGGUUGAUCGCGUCGGAAGUGUAAUCUUGGGGCUUAACCCUGAGCGUGCUUUCGAUACGGGUUGACUUGAGGAAGGUAGGGGAGAAUGGAAUUCCUGGUGGAGCGGUGGAAUGCGCAGAUAUCAGGAGGAACACCAGUGGCGAAGGCGGUUCUCUGGGCCUUUCCUGACGCUGAGGAGCGAAAGCGUGGGGAGCGAACAGGCUUAGAUACCCUGGUAGUCCACGCUGUAAACGGUGGGUACUAGGUGUGGGGUCCAUUCCACGGGUUCCGUGCCGUAGCUAACGCUUUAAGUACCCCGCCUGGGGAGUACGGCCGCAAGGCUAAAACUCAAAGGAAUUGACGGGGCCCCGCACAAGCGGCGGAGCAUGCGGAUUAAUUCGAUGCAACGCGUAGAACCUUACCUGGGUUUGACAUGGAUCGGGAGUGCUCAGAGAUGGGUGUGCCUCUUUUGGGGUCGGUUCACAGGUGGUGCAUGGCUGUCGUCAGCUCGUGUCGUGAGAUGUUGGGUUAAGUCCCGCAACGAGCGCAACCCUUGUUCACUGUUGCCAGCACGUUAUGGUGGGGACUCAGUGGAGACCGCCGGGGUCAACUCGGGGGAAGGUGGGGAUGACGUCAAGUCAUCAUGCCCCUUAUGUCCAGGGCUUCACGCAUGCUACAAUGGCUGGUACAGAGAGUGGCGAGCCUGUGAGGGUGAGCGAAUCUCGGAAAGCCGGUCUCAGUUCGGAUUGGGGUCUGCAACUCGACCUCAUGAAGUCGGAGUCGCUAGUAAUCGCAGAUCAGCAACGCUGCGGUGAAUACGUUCCCGGGGCU
rnacentral:rRNA from 1 species